ensembl:lncRNA
GGUACAGAGUCAAUGUGGAGGUUAUAUACAGGGGGUACAGGUACAGAGUCAAUGUGGAGGCUAUAUACAGGGGGUACCGGUACAGAGUCAAUGUGGAGGUUAUAUACAGGGGGUACAGGUACAGAGUCAAUGUGGAGGCUAUAUACAGGGGGUACCGGUACAGAGUCAAUGUGGAGGUUAUAUACAGGGGGUACCAGUACAGAGUCAAUGUGGAGGUUAUAUACAGGGGGUACCAGUACAGAGUCAAUGUGGAGGUUAUAUACAGGGGGUACCGGUACAGAGUCAAUGUGGAGGUUAUAUACAGGGGGUACCAGUACAGAGUCAAUGUGGAGGCUAUAUACAGGGGGUACCAGUACAGAGUCAAUGUGGAGGUUAUAUACAGGGGGUACCGGUACAGAGUCAAUGUGGAGGUUAUAUACAGGGGGUACCGGUACAGAGUCAAUGUGGAGGCUAUAUACAGGGG